GCUCUUUGUCUAUCGCACAGUGAAAAUAGGGGAACCCCCUCCAGUGCUCGUGCAGGCAGUGACGUGUGUACUAGUCUGAAGCCCCCUCAUACAUGAGACAACUGAGGAUGAAGCCAAGUCCUUCCGUGAAAUAAACAAAGCGCAUCGGAAGUCCCCAAAAAGCGCAUAAUUGACCAAGCGUUCUGUUUGCCGAUGAGGAAAGUGUGAAAGAGGCGCAGUCGCCACCACCGGUGAGCGCACAGAGUACUGACCACACGCGGGACACUUCUACUCCAGAGCGACUACGUGCCAACGACCUAGGACGGACUUUAUCCAACGAUUUAUUCAACUAUUUACUUGGCUGCUGAUUCCUCUCUGUUUCGUCCAUCGGGCGUACGGAAACAGGGAAGAAUAGGUGGGCCAGGAGAAAAGGAAAAAAAGACGCAACUAUGGCAAAAGCAAGGCUGACUGACUCCCCCGGAGUGUGUAAUGAGAAAUUACAAGAAGUAGACUCUCGUCUUGCCAUUCACCAGAGAGGACAUCAUAUUUGACAGCUCAAGGGACGUAAACAAAACAUGCGCUCCUUUUAGUGGAAACUAGAAACUGUUUCCGGAUUAAGUGGUGGCACAUUUUCAAUAACGCUCCUUUCUCUGAGAGGACUGACCACUUGGUCCGUCUCAUGAAGUCAUGCUCAUGCUUCGGUCGAGGAGUACAGUAUUUAUUAUUCUAUGACGUAGGGCACAGUGAUUGUCGUCCGUUUUGUCGGGACUCGUAGACUUAGAGGUCCGCAUUGGCGACAGAAAGUCCAAAAACUUCAGGGGGAUAGAGCAAAGAUGCCGGUUCGACGGGGUCACGUGGCACCACAGAAUACUUUCCUCGAUACUAUCAUUAGGAAAUUUGAUAGUCAAUGUCGUAAGUUCAUCAUCGCCAAUGCCCGGGUGGAGAACUGUGCCAUCAUAUUCUGCAACGAUGGCUUCUGCGCCAUGUGCGGCUACUCGCGAGCAGAGAUCAUGCAGAAACCCUGUACCUGUAACUUCCUGUACGGCCCUCAAACCAAGCGGUUGGCCAUCGCCCAGAUGGCCCAAGCACUGCUGGGCUCGGAAGAGAGGAAAAUGGAGAUCAACCUGUACAGGAAGGACGGUAGGACCAUACGCAGUGUGUGUGUGUGUGCGUGUGCGUGUGUGUGUUUUGCGGUGAGGUUGAAUACUUGUACAAGUUCAACCUGCUUAGUUACUAUGGUAUCCAAGAACCACUGUACCAUAUCUUCUAUACUUGGUUCAUAUUCAUGACUGUAUUUGCUAGUCUCUUGGUGUAUUCUCAAGUCCCCCCUCUGAUGCCUGAUCAUUGGUUGUGUCAGUCAUCCUGGUUUGUGAGGUCAUAUGGGGAAAACACUCAGGAGGAAUAUCCCGGGAACAUGCAGUGCUGCCUGGUCUAUCAGGCUCUGGGCUGGUGGCCAGUGACACACUACUCAAUCACCUCCAGGUAAUAGAGAUAGACACCCCCCCACCGGGUGAGAUAUGUCAGACAGGUCCAACUGAGGAAAGCACUACAGUAUGAUAGAGGAGUCAAAGAGAAAGAAAGACUGAUGAAGUGAGAUACUGAGAAAAGGUAUAGGUGAAAAAAAUAAAGGAAGAGAGAGGGCGGCUGCAGUUCUCAGUUCCUGGAGAGUCCCACUGGAAGGAGGUGAGAGAGAGGUGAGAGAGAGGUGAAAGAGAGGUGAGAGAGAGGUGAGAGACAGGUGAGAGAGAGGUGAGGGACAGGUGAGAGACAGGUGAGAGACAGGUGAGAGAGAGGUGAGAGACAGGUGAGAGAGAGGUGAGAGACAGGUGAGAGAGAGGUGAGAGAGAGGUGAGAGACAGGUGAGAGGUGAGAGACAGGUGAGAGAGAGUAAGAGUAAGAGAGUAAGACAAGGGAGAGGUUAGAAGAGAGAGAGGGAGAGAGAGAGAGAGAGAGAGAGAGAGAAA